rnacentral:rRNA from 1 species
UGAAUCUAAAACUUUAACUUAGAACAACUCUCAGCAACGGAUAUCUUGGCUCUUGCAACGAUGAA